rnacentral:rRNA from 1 species
UACGUAGGUGGCAAGCGUUGUCCGGAUUUAUUGGGUUUAAAGGGUGCGUAGGCGGCUUUGUAAGUCAGUGGUGAGAUAUGGCAGCUCAACUGUCAGGGUGCCAUUGAUACUGCGGAGCUUGAGUACAGAUGAGGUAGGCGGAAUUGACGGUGUAGCGGUGAAAUGCGUUGAGAUCGACAGGAACGCCGGUGGCGAAAGCGGGCCGCUGGCCCUCUUCUGACGCUGAGGCGCGAAAGCCAGGGGAGCGAACGGG